UGGGGAAUAUUGGACAAUGGGCGCAAGCCUGAUCCAGCCAUGCCGCGUGAGUGACGAAGGUCUUCGGAUUGUAAAGCUCUUUUGGCGGGGACGAUAAUGACGGUACCCGCAGAAUAAGCCCCGGCUAACUUCGUGCCAGCAGCCGCGGUAAUACGAAGGGGGCUAGCGUUGUUCGGAAUUACUGGGCGUAAAGCGCACGUAGGCGGACUGAUAAGUCAGGGGUGAAAUCCCGGGGCUCAACCUCGGAACUGCCUUUGAUACUGUUAGUCUCGAGUCCGGAAGAGGUGAGUGGAAUUCCUAGUGUAGAGGUGAAAUUCGUAGAUAUUAGGAAGAACACCAGUGGCGAAGGCGGCUCACUGGUCCGGUACUGACGCUGAGGUGCGAAAGCGUGGGGAGCAAACAGGAUUAGAUACCCACGUAGUCCCUGAGCGGGCUGGCAAGGCGCAU
rnacentral:rRNA from 1 species